UACGUAGGGCGCAAGCGUUAUCCGGAAUUAUUGGGCGUAAAGAGCUCGUAGGCGGUUUGUCGCGUCUGCCGUGAAAGUCCGGGGCUCAACUCCGGAUCUGCGGUGGGUACGGGCAGACUAGAGUGAUGUAGGGGAGACUGGAAUUCCUGGUGUAGCGGUGAAAUGCGCAGAUAUCAGGAGGAACACCGAUGGCGAAGGCAGGUCUCUGGGCAUUGACUGACGCUGAGGAGCGAAAGCAUGGGGAGCGAACAGG
rnacentral:rRNA from 1 species